rnacentral:rRNA from 1 species
GACGAACGCUGGCGGCGUGCCUAAUACAUGCAAGUCGAGCGAAUCACUUCGGUGGUUAGCGGCGGACGGGUGAGUAACACGUGGGCAACCUGCCUGUAAGACUGGGAUAACUUCGGGAAACCGGAGCUAAUACCGGAUAAUCCUUUUCCUCUCAUGAGGGAAAGCUGAAAGACGGUUUCGGCUGUCACUUACAGAUGGGCCCGCGGCGCAUUAGCUAGUUGGUGAGGUAACGGCUCACCAAGGCGACGAUGCGUAGCCGACCUGAGAGGGUGAUCGGCCACACUGGGACUGAGACACGGCCCAGACUCCUACGGGAGGCAGCAGUAGGGAAUCUUCCGCAAUGGACGAAAGUCUGACGGAGCAACGCCGCGUGAGCGAUGAAGGCCUUCGGGUCGUAAAGCUCUGUUGUUAGGGAAGAACAAGUAUCGGAGUAACUGCCGGUACCUUGACGGUACCUAACCAGAAAGCCACGGCUAACUACGUGCCAGCAGCCGCGGUAAUACGUAGGUGGCAAGCGUUGUCCGGAAUUAUUGGGCGUAAAGCGCGCGCAGGCGGUCCUUUAAGUCUGAUGUGAAAGCCCACGGCUCAACCGUGGAGGGUCAUUGGAAACUGGAGGACUUGAGUACUGAAGAGGAAAGUGGAAUUCCACGUGUAGCGGUGAAAUGCGUAGAGAUGUGGAGGAACACCAGUGGCGAAGGCGACUUUCUGGUCAGUAACUGACGCUGAGGCGCGAAAGCGUGGGGAGCAAACAGGAUUAGAUACCCUGGUAGUCCACGCCGUAAACGAUGAGUGCUAAGUG